ACCCCUAAAUGUUUUUUUUUUAACCUCUGUUCAUUCUGAGUAGCAGCUGGGUUUGCAAUAUAGAUCUAAGAGUCUGGGAACUGCCAUUUAUCUAUAUGCUCAAGGAAAGUGAACAGGCAUGGUAAGUAGCUGGUCAGUCUGCACCAGGUAUGUUUCUACUUAUUUAGACAUGUAUGGCAAUGCGUCUCACAUAUAAUGUGAAGCCCUGUUUUGCUCAGCAGUCUGCUAAUAAGGUAGUUAGCACCCUUGAGAAACUCUGUAUUUGCAAGUGUGUUUGGUUUGAAGUUACAUUAGAAUGAAUUGAGCAGUCCUGGGAGCAUGCCAAAGAAGGAAGGUGCCUUUCUAAGAUCUACAGGGAGUAUAUGAGAUAUUUCUCCUUUAACUUUCGAAAGGUAUUAUAAAGCAGGCAUGCACAUAUCCAGAACUAUACUCAAAUUAAAAGGGAGUUACAUUGAUUACUGCACUCUCCUUACCUUGUUGGACUCAUGUGUCUUCGUAGCUGUGUUGGUAGCUGUUUCUGUUUUGCUCUGUUAGUGAUUCUGGGAUUCACCUCUCAGUCUUUUCAUGUCUAACUGUUGCUAACAAGUAUCUGAAAGGAAGAGCAGCAACCUGUCGAUCAUUGAGGUAGCUUCAAGUAUCAUAAACUCAGCCUUCUAGCCCUGCUAAAAAGAUCUGAAAUGCAAUCUGGGAAAUUUUUAUUUCAUUAUAAUUAAGUCAAAGAGUCUGAUAUCUCAUCUAAGAACACAAAAGAGGUGCAAAUUAAAGAAAGCAAAAACUAUUUUUAUAGAAAUAGAAAGCAAUCUGGAUAUCCCCCAAUGAUGGGUAACAUUGGCAUGAACUAAAAGAGGAAACAAAAACGAAACAACCAACCUAAUAAACAAAACAAGUGGGAGGCAAGGUACAGGCAGGCAUCUCAGUGAGCUCAGGGAAGAAAACUGAAAAAUAGUGGGAGAAAGAGGAGCCAUUUACAAACAUUUAGAAGUCAAGCUAGCAGUGUAUCUUCUCAACGUAUCUUCUCAUGCAUCUCACAGGAUGUUCAAACCGAAAAGGCAUGGAUUUGACCUUUUUAUCAGACAGCUUGAGUGUGGUUGGCAGCCACGAUCUGCUGAAAAGAGUCUGCGGGAAAAACUAGGAAGGGUGAGAAGAUACUGGAAAACAAGGGAGUUUGCCUGAAGAGCCAUACAUUAGAAUAUAAAAUGUGCGGCUGUUAACCUGGCCUUUGUGUUACUCUCUAUCUACCCCAGUCCCUUACGGAGAAUAUGGAGCACAGGGGUGCCCCUCAUGAGUACUAAAAAGGUAGGAUUCUUUCGAAGAUAAAGAAUCUGUUUCUUCUUACAAUAUUUCAAAAUGCUGAUGCGUUAAAGGACAAGGAGUUUGUAGAUUGGAUGGUGGUUAUACCGGGCUAUGAGCUGUCUAGUCAUAAUACUUCCCAAGGCCACAGCAAUGAAAAUGACAGUGUAGAAAAACAAGGAAGAGGUUUUUAGAAGCGGUGUCCUUGUUGCUCGUAUUUCACACAGAGGUCUGUUUGCACUUGAAGAACGUGUAACGGCCAGUGGUUUUCAAGCAAUCUUCUAUGUGCCAGGGUGAAGACUGUGGCAUGAGAUAGAAACCUUCCAGCUGCAGCGGGAUGGAGAAACACAAGAGUAAUGUCCAUCACAAGCUCAUUUUGGUUCACGAGAUCCAAGAUGGCCUCAUCCCUUCCUAGAAUCCAAAAGGAAAAUUUGGAUCUAGAUUACCAACAGUUGGAAUCUGUGGAGACAGUGACCUUCCAUUCCUCAAAUGGUAUCUAUGGUGAGAGAAGCAUGCAGACGAGCAACAGGCCCUCCUUUGAGUGACUACUUUCUCUUGAGAGUGUCUGCUCUCCUGCGGUGUGCUGAGUAGCUGAUGUGUGAACUUGUUCUGACAAAACAUGUUGGAUUCUAUUUCUAAAGGC